UACUGUAUAUAUAUAUAUUGCAAAUCAUAUAAUUCCAAAGAAAAGUUGGUUAAUUUUAUCCAUUGAAUGUCUUCAUAACUCACUCAGUCGGUAACGAAAAUCUAUCCGAUAAAAUACAGAUUUCAGUCCUUCUGUCAAAAAAACUGUUAAAGAAUCUUUUU